GGUGAGGCCAAAGUGUUGUCGUGG
rnacentral:siRNA from 1 species